UCCAUAAAGUAGAAAGCACUACUAAACGCCUGUGCCCAAGUGUAGUGUUUCCUACUUUAUGGAUG
rnacentral:pre_miRNA from 1 species